GGUAACAGGCUUUGGAAACAAAAAGAGGAUGGAUAAAGUCUUUGCCUUGCUGACGGAGAUGAAGGAAAAAGGAUGCCCACCUGAUGCAAGGCUGUAUAAUGCACUGAUCAAAUUGCUAAUAAAUCGACGAAUGCCAGUUGAUGCAGUUACUUUGUAUAAAAAGAUGAUCCGAAAUGGAAUUCAACCUACUAUUCACACUUACAAUAUGUUGAUGAAAUCAUUCUUCAUGACAAAGAACUAUGACAUGGCUCAUGCAACUUGGGAGGAAAUGAGCCUGAGGGGUUGCUGUCCAGACGAAAAUUCUUACACCGUCUUCAUUGGAGGGCUUAUAGGGCAGGGGCGAU
rnacentral:misc_RNA from 1 species